rnacentral:antisense_RNA from 17 species
GUUUUUGGCGGGCCGGGCGGGGCAGCCGAAAGGCUGGCCGGAUUACUCUGUGAAGACCGGUUUGGUACCCCCGCUGUCUGGCCCGCCACCCUU